CCGUGUCUCAAAAUUGUCUCUCUAGUCUCCAUGGGGAGUUGCAAGUGGAGCCAUCGUCGGACACCUGCUUGCAACAUCUUUUUCAAGUGAUGAAGGAAGCCGAGACACCAUUCGGACGCCCGAGAACUAAGAGAAAGAGGCUUUAGAUGUGCUACUGAGAAGGGUUUGUGGAUGUCUUGCUUAUUCUCUGGUAAUCUUAGGAUGAGAGCUGGUCCAAAAUACUGUUUUACUGGUGCUAAACUUCAAAAAUUUAUCCAGAAACAAGGUGGUUAGUAUAAUAUUGGAUAGUAAUAAAGAAGAAAGAGAAGUUAAAAUUUUUAUCGAGCUGUCUAAUACCGUCUAGUAUUGAACAAAACAUGUGCUGUUUAGAUUUGUCUUGUCCAGCAAAUAAAUCUAUGAAUUUUCUAUAAAUUUUAUGUUGAAUUUAUACUGGGGAGGGUGAAAAUAAACUGAAUUUUUCAUGCAGUAUAAGUUCAAUAUUUCCCAACUUGAUGGCAAUUAUCUCCACUUUAUUACAUAUAGGGCUGAGUCUCAUCGAGGAAAAUAGAGUUGAAACUCAAUGUUCUGUCAUU
rnacentral:lncRNA from 1 species